rnacentral:rRNA from 1 species
UACGGGGGGGGUAAGCGUUGUUCGGAAUUACUGGGCGUAAAGGGCUCGUAGGCGGCCAACUAAGUCAUACGUGAAAUCCCUCAGCUUAACUGGGGAACUGCGUGUGAUACUGGAUGGCUUGGAUUUGGGAGAGGGAUGCGGAAUUCCAGGUGUAGCGGUGAAAUGCGUAGAUAUCUGGAGGAACACCGGUGGCGAAGGCAAUCCCCUGGGCCUGCACUGACGCUCAUGCACGAAAGCGUGGGGAGCAAACAGG